AAUUUUACUUUGUUUAUUUAUGUAAAUUUUAAUUUUAAAGAAUUUUGGGUACAGUUAUUAAUAUUAUAUAUUUAAUAAUUUAAGAUAUAGCAAUAGAAUAGAGUACUGACACAAUUUGUGCCAGCAGUCGCGGUUAUACAGAUAGUGCAAUUUAACGUUGUCAGUGAGAAGUUAAUUUGGGCAUAUUUAUUAAUUUAUUUAAAUUUAAAGGUGAAAUUUUAAUUUAAUAAAAAUUAAUUUUAAUUAAAUGAGGCUCGGAGAUUUUAUUUUUAAACUAGGAUUAGAUACCCUAUUAUUAAAAACGUUUCUGAUUUAAACUGAAUUAGUAAGAGAUAGGGUCUCAAAAAUUAAAUAUUUUGGCGGUAUUUUAUGACCUUUCAGAGGAACCUGUCCUGUAAUUGAUAGCCCACGAUUUUUGUUUACUUUAUUAUGUGUUUGUAUAUCGUCGUUUUUGAAAAUUUUUAAAAAAAUUAAUUUUCAAGAUUUUGGAUGGGAAAAUAAAUCAGAUCAAGGUGCAGCAUUGUUAAGUAGUGAUGGGUUACAAUACAUAUAUGUUUGGACUCACAAUUUAAAAUUGUGAUGAUUAUGGAUUUGAUGGUAAUUUUUUUUAAAUAUUAAAAAUGAUAUAGGCUCUAGAAUAUGUACAUAUCGCCCGUCGCUUUCGUAAACUUAUGAAAAAAGUCGUAACAUAGUAGAUUUACUGGAAAGUGAAUCUGGAAUGAUCAG
rnacentral:ncRNA from 1 species